AAGGAGAGCAACGGGGAGGGGGGUGUUAAAAAAAAAAAAAGGCAAGAAAGAAGCUCUUAGAUUUGCAACACAUGGAAAAACCCGGGGAGCACCCCGCCUCGUCCGAUCUCGGUGCGCCGCGGGAGCCUUCCGGGUUUUAGAUAGAGCCUCUCGUCGUCCUCCAGGCCCCUCCACCUCCGCCGGGUUUAGGAUCCGAGGAGUCCGAGCAAAAAGUUCUCCCCCUGGGAGCCGAAUCAGGGGGUGUCAGGGUGGGAGUUGGGGGGAUUUCUCAAGAAGCGGUAGCCAUUCCUCGCACCCAGGCUUCGUUAGCUGGGCCGGGGUGGGGGUGGAGAGCAAAAUCCCGGUGGGUUUUCGGAAGGGCUUCCCUUCUCGGGCGAAGUCGGAGCCAGGAGACAAGGCUUCGCACAUCUCCCCUUCGGUCUCUGCCUCCAGUCCCCUGCCAGCUCCCCCUUUAAUUUUUUUUUUCUUCUCCUUUAAUCUAAUUUCUUCCAACUCCACCUUUGUUGUUAAUCGGCGUCACGCCGGGAUCAGCCAAUCCUCGCCACGCAAUCAGCUUGUCAAAAAGACUGGGCCAGCCCUGGGAAAGCAGGCCACGGGCGCUGCCCCCACUCCCGUCCUCCCCUCCACCCCACCGACAGCCGGGAGCCCCGAGGGGAGCCUGGCACCCUGGCCUCGCCGCGCGAGCCGCAGCGGGGCAGCCUUCGCCGAGGCCUCCCGCACUCCAGCACCCUGCGGCCCGGAGAUCGGAGAUCGAGAGGCCUGGGCGGAGGCCACGCUCUACCCUCCCACUGCAGGCGGCUGUGGUUGUCGGGCUCAGCCUUCCCUCCUCCGAAGAAGGCUUAUUAGGACGCCGGGAGCCAGAAGAUGGAAGAACGCCUGACUCCAACAGGCGUGCCUACGGUUUGGGCCAUAGCAUUGGAGGCAGCCAUUGCUCCUGCUCCCAGGCCGCCAGUCUCCCUCCCACACCAACACGGCUCCAGCCCACAUCUCCGCCAGCUGGGUCACCAGCCCCUUUGGACUCUCCCCUGGCACGCAGCCUUCUCCAUCCUCACAAAACCGCCUCGCUGCUGUUGUAAUUCCUCUUGUCUCCUGGGAGGAAUGAGAUUCCUUUCCCAGGACUUCCACAGCCCUCAUCUGCCACGUCUCACAAACAGGGAGGAAAACCCUGUCAAGAUCUGGUGUGUCCAGAUUUUUUAGUGGGCAGGGCCUGUAAGAGAGGCGCAUUUACCUUAAUGCUAAUGCAGCUGAAGUUUCAGGGCCCCUUGUUUGUAGGGUUGUCUAAGACCCUGUGCUUAAUUUUGACUCAUCAUUCGAUAUUUUUUUUAAAUGUAUUUUAUUGAUUUUUUACAGAGAGAAAGGCAGAGGGAUAGAGAGUUAGAAACAUCGAUGAGACAGAAACAUUGAUCAUCUGCCUCCUGCACACUCCCCACUGGGGAUGUGCCCGCAACCAAGGAACUGAUUUUCUUGUUUUGACUGGGAAACAGCAAAGGAUUUGGGAAGAGAGGUCUCGGCUUUCCCACCAUGAUGAUAGGAGAGAAGAAGGGAGAGAGAGAAACAUCGAUUGAACCUACAACUUAGAUUAUGUGUCCUGACCAGGAAUCAAACCUGCAACCUUUUGAUGCAUAGGAGGACGCUCCCACCAACUAAGCCAUUGGGCCAGGGCUUUGUGUCCUUAUAUUUAAAAUGGGUUCUUGUAGGUAAUAUAUAGUUUUUUGUAUUUUUAUCUAUCUGACAAUCUGUUAUUGAAUUGGUAUAUUUAGACCAUUGAUAUUUAAGGUGAUUAUUAAUGAAUAUAGUAGGAUUAGUAUUUACCAUAUUUGUUACUGUUUUCUAUUUGUUGCCUUUGUUCUUUUUUUUUUUUUGGUAUUCCUGUCUUCCACAUUUUUCUGCCUUUUGUGGUUUUAACUGAGUAUUCCAUAUGAGUUAAUCUUCUCUCCUUCAUUAGCAUAACAUUAUACUUUUUCCUGCUUUUUUUAGUGGUUGCCCUAGAAUUUGCAAUAUAAUAUUCAAGUCCAUUUUUAAAUAACACUAUACCACUUAACGGGUAGUGGAAGUACCUUAUAAUAACAAACUAUUUUUAAAUGUUUUUUGUUUAGUGAUAUUUUUAUUAUAUGUGAAUAUUCUCCAGGCGAAUUAACUAUUUAUUUAGUGAUAUUUUUAUUAUAUGUGAAUAUUCUCCAGGCGAAUUAACUAAGUCCUGAAACAGCAACAAAAAUAUCUUAUUCAGAUAUUUUAUAAUUCUGAUACCUGAAAUAAAGACAAAUAGAAAACUAUGUUAAAACAUUAAAAGUUGCAACUUUUCAUUAAAAGGAUUUACAUUUGUAGCCUAAUGCCAAUUUAUACAUACAAUUCUUUUUUUUUUUAAUUUCAUUUUUAUCUUGGAAAAGCAAUGUAAGUUUAAAAUGAAAUAACAAGUACUUUGAUAUGUCAUCAUUUUUUAUGGUACUACAUUUAUUGAAAGUGUGAAGAUACAGAACCUUUAUAAAUAUCUAGAAUGAAAAAUUACCUAUGAAGAUAAAAACGGAUUGGUUUUAGCCGAAACCGGUUUGGCUCAGUGGAUAGAGCAUCGGCCUGCGGACUGAAGGGUCCCAGGUUUGAUUCCGGUCAAGGGCAUGUACCUGGGUU